rnacentral:rRNA from 1 species
UGGGGAAUAUUGGACAAUGGGCGAAAGCCUGAUCCAGCCAUGCCGCGUGUGUGAAGAAGGUCUUCGGAUUGUAAAGCACUUUAAGUUGGGAGGAAGGGCAGUAAGCGAAUACCUUGCUGUUUUGACGUUACCGACAGAAUAAGCACCGGCUAACUCUGUGCCAGCAGCCGCGGUAAUACAGAGGGUGCAAGCGUUAAUCGGAAUUACUGGGCGUAAAGCGCGCGUAGGUGGUUCGUUAAGUUGAAUGUGAAAGCCCCGGGCUCAACCUGGGAACUGCAUCCAAAACUGGCGAGCUGGAGUAGGGCAGAGGGUGGUGGAAUUUCCUGUGUAGCGGUGAAAUGAGUAGAUAUAGGAAGGAACACCAGUGGCGAAGGCGACCACCUGGGCUCAUACUGACACUGAGGUGCGAAAGCGUGGGGAGCAAACAGG